AGUUAGAAUCUCUGUAUUUUUAGCUUCUUUUUUUUUUUUCUCUAAAUUCUCUCUCACUGUCCUUAUCAUUUCACCACCUCCAUAAAUCUAGAAACAUCUUUUCUACUCCGUUAAUCGCUCUAGCACACGGCGGAGGAGUGCGGCGGAGGAGAUGGCGGGAAACGAUUGGAUUAACAGUUACUUAGAGGCGAUACUGGAUGUAGGACCAGGGCUAGAUGAUAAGAAGUCAUCGUUGUUAUUGAGAGAAAGAGGGAGGUUUAGUCCGACGAGGUAUUUUGUUGAGGAAGUUAUUACUGGAUUUGAUGAGACUGAUUUGCAUCGUUCGUGGAUCCGAGCACAAGCUACUCGGAGUCCGCAGGAGAGGAAUACUAGGCUCGAGAAUAUGUGCUGGAGGAUUUGG
rnacentral:misc_RNA from 1 species